UCAUAGGCGCUCGAUACCCCGUCGGUGAG
rnacentral:sRNA from 1 species